CGCCUCUUUCCUAUUAAAUUUUGAAUUUUUAUCUAUUUAAAAUUGAGGAUUCAUGGUAAUAGCGUUAGGGUUUUGGAGUGAGGAUGUCCAUCUUGAAGUGGAACGAGAACGUUUGCUUCUUGACCUGCUGUGAAACGAGAUUCACCGAUAGUGAAAUUAGCUAGAAAAUUACUGGAUGAAUCUUCUACAAAUUUCGAUACUCAUUCUAACUC
rnacentral:lncRNA from 1 species